rnacentral:tRNA from 1 species
GGUGACGUGUCCGAGCGGCCGAAGGUGCGACUCUCGAAAAGUCGUGUAGGGUAACCCCUACCGUGGGUUCAAAUCCCACCGUCACCGCCA